GACGAACGCUGGCGGCGUGCUUAACACAUGCAAGUCGAACGGAAAGGCCCUGCUUUUGUGGGGUGCUCGAGUGGCGAAAGGGUGAGUAACACGUGAGUAACCUGCCCUUGACUUUGGGAUAACUUCAGGAAACUGGGGCUAAUACCGGAUAGGAGCUCCUGCUGCAUGGUGGGGGUUGGAAAGUUUCGGCGGUUGGGGAUGGACUCGCGGCUUAUCAUCUUGUUGGUGGGGUAGUGGCUUACCAAGGCUUUGACGGGUAGCCGGCCUGAGAGGGUGACCGGCCACAUUGGGACUGAGAUACGGCCCAGACUCCUACGGGAGGCAGCAGUGGGGAAUAUUGCACAAUGGGCGGAAGCCUGAUGCAGCAACGCCGCGUGCGGGAUGACGGCCUUCGGGUUGUAAACCGCUUUCGCCUGUGACGAAGCGUGAGUGACGGUAAUGGGUAAAGAAGCACCGGCUAACUACGUG
rnacentral:rRNA from 1 species